GCUUUCAACAUCCCCGUUCCGGUACAAGCGAUCACCAUUGCGGAAUAGCCGCAAUCGAAUUCGCGUCCGGAGCUGAAGGC
ncrna:unclassified sequences nadA RNA